GGCAGAAGGUAGAGAUGGAGCUUCGAAACUAAGGUUUCUGCCCUAAGGUUUUUAGUUUCGUUGGAUUCGUAUUUGGGUGUUGAUGUUUCUGGGUUAUUGGUUUUAUUGAGGAGGAGGAGAAGAUUUGUUGGAGCAGAAACAGCUAUGGCUUCGGAAAAUCGAGGAGCUGGUGUAGGAAGGCUUCUGGGAUCAAGGAGGAGUACUGCUUGGGUUUCCAAAAUUGGUUUCGAAGCCUUGAAGAGGAAGUCCAUAGUUAAAAUUUCAGACAGCCGGAAGACAAGCCAUAGCAACAUCAACCAGAGUGCUAUGGUGUCUGGUUUACUAAACAGCUCGUAAAUGUUAAGUACAUGUGCACAUUAGAGGUGCCAUUUCUCUCCAUAGUAGCCUGUGCAAAUUACAGAGCGCUUCAAUACCAACUUCAGCAGAGAUCGUAGACAAGUUGCUGGCAAAAGGAGCUGUGGAAGAGUCGAGCUGACAUGGUCUUCUUUACUUCACCAUUGUGGACAUGUACAAUAUGCCAAAUCUAGCUCCAAACAGAUUGCCUUGGAGUAGAACUAUUGUAAUGGUUAUUUUUGCGUUAGAAGUAGCUGUUGCCUCGUUUUGUUUGGUGUUUACUUAAUGUAUUGGAUUGGCUUGAAGCCAUUUGAUUUUGAUGAUAUAUAAACAUGCCUUUAACUUUAUAUUUUGGUCUUUCCCAAUGUAUGUUCUUGAUGUAUGAACGAUCUAUUGUAAAUCUUUUUGA